GCUUACACAUGCAAGUCGAGCGGUAAGGCCCUUCGGGGUACACGAGCGGCGAACGGGUGAGUAACACGUGAGCAACCUGCCCCUGACUCCGGGAUAAGCGGUGGAAACGCCGUCUAAUACCGGAUACGACCCGUGGUCUCCUGGCCGCGGGUGGAAAGUUUUUUCGGUCGGGGAUGGGCUCGCGGCCUAUCAGCUUGUUGGUGGGGUAACGGCCUACCAAGGCGAUUACGGGUAGCCGGCCUGAGAGGGCGACCGGCCACACUGGGACUGAGACACGGCCCAGACUCCUGCGGGAGGCAGCAGUGGGGAAUAUUGCGCAAUGGGCGAAAGCCUGACGCAGCGACGCCGCGUGGGGGAUGACGGCCUUCGGGUUGUAAACCUCUUUUACCACCAACGCAGGCUCCCGGUUCUCCGGGGGUUGACGGUAGGUGGGGAAUAAGGACCGGCUAACUACGUGCCAGCAGCCGCGGUAAUACGUAGGGUCCGAGCGUUGUCCGGAAUUAUUGGGCGUAAAGAGCUCGUAGGCGGCGUGUCGCGUCUGCUGUGAAAGACCGGGGCUUAACUCCGGUUCUGCAGUGGAUACGGGCAUGCUAGAGGUAGGUAGGGGAGACUGGAAUUCCUGGUGUAGCGGUGAAAUGCGCAGAUAUCAGGAGGAACACCGGUGGCGAAGGCGGGUCUCUGGGCCUUACCUGACGCUGAG
rnacentral:rRNA from 1 species